rnacentral:misc_RNA from 1 species
AGCACACUUCUUCCCUGCAAACUCUGCCAUGGCCAUAAAAUGGGAUUGACAAUAAGUCGCAGUUAAUUGAGGCAUUAGUGUCUUUCAAAAAUUCACAUGAAUAGAUCACAAUCAGUGCAUUGCAACAAAUGUAGAAAUGGGGAGAGGAACAACCAUCUAUACAUUGAUCAACAGAUCUCAAUUCUCGCAGGAUAAAAAGGCAUAUGUUAGUUGAUGUAAAUUGCAAGACAUGAUACAAAGAGAGGCAAAAAUAUUUCUAGUUACCUCUCAUAAUUUAACCUUAUCCCCAAUGGAAGAAAAGAAAAGGCAGACAAGUUCACCAUUUGAAAUGGCCAGUAAAGGAACCAAUAUAUUCCACUCAGUGAGAAAGGAUCAACAAAGGAUCAACAAAGGUGCUUCUUUGGUGUCCUCUUUUUUAGAAAGGACAUAGUGACAUGAGUGCUGUGUUCAUGGCUUUAUGCCUAACAAUAGAAGUCUACAGUUGUCAUUUAAAAACUAUAGCUUACAAGCCUUCUGAUUUUUCAGCGUGAGAAAACCAGUCCUACAGUUGAAUGAUGGAACUGUAGCCCUAUAUGAUGACCCAUAUGCAAUGUUAAAAUAUGGAAAUAGCUCAUGGUUUUUAAGGCAUUAUGCCAAAUUUAUAGACAGUAGAGCCAGUGUAAGCUUACACACAAUAUCCAAGCUACAUGUCUAAAUAAAAACCAGUAACAUGCAAAUCCUUGAUUAAUUCAAGAGCACCUGCAUUCUGAAUUACCUAAACUCCAGCGAAAACAAAAGAACAUUCCAGCACAAUGGCAACAGCUGUGUAAAAGAGAGAGAGCUUAC